rnacentral:rRNA from 1 species
UAUUCCUACGGGGCGCAGCAGUGGGGGAUAUUGAACAAUGGGGGGAACCCUGAUCCAGCGACGCCGCGUGAGUGAAGAAGUAUUUCGGUAUGUAAAGCUCUGUCAGCAGGGAAGAAAGCAAUGACGGUACCUGACCAAGAAGCCCCGGCUAACUACGUGCCAGCAGCCGCGGUAAUACGUAGGGGGCAAGCGUUAUCCGGAUUUACUGGGUGUAAAGGGAGCGUAGGUGGCAAGGCAAGUCAGAUGUGAAAACCCGGGGCCCAACCCCGGGAGUGCAUUUGAAACUGUCUGGCUAGAGUGCAGGG